GUACAACCACGCGUCACUGUGCGAAAGCCAGUCUGAAGGAACACGGCCACCACAAGCUGCUGCUCAGAUCCUGCGGCGUCGUUUCGCCACUUCCCAAGCCAAAAAUUGCCAUUACAAUUCGCAACUCAGGGAAAUCGGGAAAUCCAAAACAACGGCCUUGGUGUUAUCCUUCCCCAAACUUCCGAUGCUGAUUCCAUGCCCUGGUCCACAGUUCACAUUGUGUACGUAGACAUUUGAGCAUCCAGUUUGUAUGGAAAUACAGUCAUCUCCUUAGGGGCCGGAGAAGGAGAUGGGGCCCACGAGGAACUUGUAAUUGGCCGGAACGAUGAUCUUUGAUGCCUCAACUUUACAGGCGGCAGCCCAUGCAGCUUGGAAUGCCUGCGAUGUACCGUAUCCAAUGUAACUUGGUCAAGUACUAUACUUCAGUAAAUAAGCUUUAUACGUAGAAAUAUACGGUUGGGGGUUAGUUUGUACGCAGCUCUACAACUGUAACAUACAAUUAUUGUACCAACUGCCUUAACGAGAAUAAAUGUAUUCACUGGGCCCAAAAGAGGCCCACCUGUUUGGUUUUUCA